rfam:Roseovarius sp. A-2 DNA, contig: RA2_contig0010.
AUGACCGACAGCAAGCUGCCGGAUAUGCAGGCGGGCGGCGAAAAGGGAUAUACCAUCUCGCUGGCGGCCCAUGCCGGGGCUUCGAUGAUCCAUGAAUGCGCGG